UAUUUUUCUGGAAAAACAUCGUUUUUCAAGAAGGAAUAAUUGGUUCAUAAUUUAUGCGCCUAAACUUAGUCCUCAUAGAAUGUCAUAAUUUCAUACUUGAUCCUCAUAAUAAGACUAUCUAACCUCCAAACAAAGGCUAUCUGAAGAUCUAACUAAUAUCAAAAAUUCCAACAACACCACACUUAUGCUCAAUGAAAGCUUCUCUUCUCGACCUAUGGGUCAAUUUCCUUUCACGUCAAGCCAUUCCAUGAACAGCAUGGCCUGCUCACCAACAUAAAUUUGACACUGCAAAGUGGCGGCAUCCGGUUGUAUCUGAUAGUCUGCAUGUGUUAAAUGAAUAAUUAGUUACCGUAAUCAUGAGAGGCUGGCACUUAUUGUUUUCAAACAGAAGUAUGUGUUCAAGUCUAAACUACAAACAGUAACACACCCUUAAGAGAAGUAACCAUCUUGCAUGAGCACCCGAUCUAAUAGCAUGAGUAUGACAUGGCAAGUUGGGUCAGUUAGAGGAUAUAAUACAAACAACCAUAGCAAUCAAUAAAAAAGACCAUAGGAUCAUAUACACCAAAGUGAAUCGUUCUCCCUUCCUAAGAAGAAUAAUCACCUUCAAUUUAAAGAUCAGUGCUUGCAUAGAAUUGUAGUUGGAGAGUAACUUCACUUUAAACAAAUAUAAAGAUUUUAAUUUUGAAAUAAUUCACUUGUUCCAAAAGGCCUCUUCCGACAUGUAACACACUGACAAUUUACUUUUUAAAUAAUUCACUUGUUCCAAUAAUCCACUUUCUCAAGUUCAGCAUAACUAAAAAGGGAUCAGAAGUAUAGAUGACAAAUUCUUGACCUUAACAUAUGUGUAUUAUGUGAUGAUGGAGUAGUGACUCCGUAAACAGAUUGUUAACAAACAAAAGAGGGAUACAACCUACAUUUUCACUUGUUCUCUGAAGCGAUUAACAAUGUAAUUUUUCCAGUCAAAUAAUACAUGGUAAAUCCGAACACAGGUAGGCAAUCUAAGGAACGAACACGGAUAAACUGGAUUAAGUGGACGUGGUGAUAUGUCCCUGACAGUUCAUGCAGAGAAAUAUUAUGAUGUAUUCCACUUCAUCCUGACUAACAAGCUGAAAAUACAUACCUCGAUCGUGCACUCCCUGUCAGCGUGAGGUGCUACCGCUAAUUACCCCAGUGAACCACUCCAUUCCCAAAGUCAUUUCACAGGAACUACUUGACUUAGCAAAACAAAAAAUACAUCAGUGAAGAUACCAAGUGUGAUGGUCACAAACUCAAAGUUAUUCAAAUCUGGGCAAAUAUGCAUAGAUCGAGUGUAAUUAUACAUCUUCAGAUUUUGUAAAUCUUCUCUUAAUAUACUGAAGCAGUGCUACUGCCUGGCAUCUUCCAAAUAAAGUGCAAGCACACCCAAUGAAGAUAAUGACGGCAUUGGCGGACGGGUUGACCACUUGACUACCAAAAAUCCCCUGUGUCGCAAGAAUUAACAACAAAAACAUGUUUCAUACCCUCAUACAUAAGAAAGAAUACGCCUGCUCAGUACUUCGAAGCGAUCAAUUUCUUGAUCCCCAAUUUUUAUUGAGGCCUGUUGGAAAAAAUGGAUCUGAAAAGGAAUAAAAAGAUCACAUCAAUUGGUGAGGCAGCUACUGCCGCCUACGAAGUGGAGACCAGCAGGUGAGCUGCUCCGCCAUGAACCUGUGUUAGCUUGAGUCCAUGUCCCGCGGCAGCGUUGCCCAACAAAUUACCUCUCAGAUCAACUACUAAUGGUUACCUGAACCUGACGAAGGAGUAGGACAAGACCCAAUAGCGUGAGCGCCGGAGCAGAAACCUCCGGAGGCCUCCACUCGCCGCACCAGCCGGCGUCGGACUUCCGUCACACCGAGAAUCCCGCCCUCACGGCGUCCCCGCCGGUGGUGUUCCCUGCGGCCAGCGGAUCCGCCAUGGCAAAAUCGUACGGGACGACUAAAAUCGACCUGCACCUGCACACCACCCCUAUGCCCAGUACGUACUCCGGCGCCGGCGUACGUUGGGCAGACUGUAGUACGAUCACCCCUGGCGACGCAGGCAAAGGCGGCGUACACCAAUGACAGCUGCUUACGAACUCUCCUUCUGCCCCGCCGCCAAGCUCGCCCAUGGACGGACGCGAUCAAGAGUUGUGCAGAUAAGAGGGAGGAGUGAAGAAUUUCUCGAUGGGACUCGCUCCUACCGCCGAUGGCCUGGACCGCGACCACGGCGGCGGACGAGGAGGGGGGAGUCAGAGAGAAAAAUUGGAGCGGGCAAGUGAUGAAAUCGGGAGCAACGGAGUGCGGAAGAUGGGG
rnacentral:rRNA from 1 species